UACGUAGGUGACAAGCGUUGUCCGGAUUUACUGGGCGUAAAGAGCGCGCAGGCGGUCGUUCAAGUCGAGUGUGAAAGCCCCCGGCUCAACUGGGGAGGGUCACUCGAUACUGAUCGACUCGAAGGCAGGAGAGGGAAGUGGAAUUCCCGGUGUAGUGGUGAAAUGCGUAGAUAUCGGGAGGAACACCAGUGGCGAAGGCGGAUCUCUGGGCCUUACCUGACGCUCAGGUGCGAAAGCUAGGGGAGCAAACGGG
rnacentral:rRNA from 1 species